rnacentral:misc_RNA from 1 species
GGUUGGGUCACCAUGGCCAUGGUCAGGUCACUCCACACCACCCCCCUCCCCUCUCCAUGUUUACGCUUGCGAGUUUGACAGAGUGUAUUGUGACGAUAAUGACAUACAACUUUUAACAAUGGAUCUCUUGGCUCUUGCAUCGAUGAAGAACGCAGUCAUGUGCGAAAAUUAAUGCGAUUUGCACGAAUCUGUGAGUCAUCAAGUCUUUGAACGCAACUUGCGCCGAGUGAUCGGCAUGUCUGGCUGAGUGUGGAGAGAUAAAUGAGGAAAAGGGGGGCUUGAUCAAAGUUUUGAUCGAAACCCUCUUUCUCGAUGCGGUCCAUAGGGUUUCCUUGGACUGGGACAGAGCAAGAAACAGAGAAGCAAGAGCUGACUCGGGUGCCAAGUGUUCUCGACAAAUCACGAGCUUCUCUAAUAUACAUAUUACUAUCCCACCUCAGGUUAGGCAAGACUACCCGCUGAACUUAAGCAUAUCAAUAAGCGGAGGAAAGGGCGAAUUCGCGGCCGCUAAAUUCAAUUCGCCCUAUA